rnacentral:rRNA from 1 species
AGCCACUGCUAUCGGAGUCCGACUAAGCCAUGCGAGUCCAGGUGCUUCGGCACCGGCGGACGGCUCAGUAACACGUGGACAACCUACCCUCGGGAGGGGGAUAACCCCGGGAACCUGGGAAUAAACCCCCAUAGGUCAUGGAUGCUGGAAGGCGCCAUGACCGAAAUUCCGAAAGGAGCCCGAGGAUGGGUCUGCGGCCUAUCAGGUCGUAGUGGGGGUAACGGCCCCACUAGCCUACGACGGGUACGGGCCCUGAGAGGGGGAGCCCGGAGAUGGACUCUGAGACACGAGUCCAGGCCCUACGGGGCGCAGCAGGCGCGAAAACUCCGCAAUGCUCGAAAGAGCGACGGGGGGACUCCGAGUGCCUACGCUUUGCGUAGGCUUUUCCCGAGCCUAAAAAGCUCGGGGAAUAAGGACUGGGUAAGACGGGUGCCAGCCGCCGCGGUAACACCCGCAGCUCGAGUGGUGGCCGCUUUUAUUGGGCCUAAAGCGUCCGUAGCCGGUCUGGUAAAUGCCUGGGUAAAUCGUCUGGCUCAACCAGACGGCUCCCAGGUAGACUGCCAGACUUGGGACCGGAGGAGGGAGAGGGUACUCCAGGGGUAGGGGUGAAAUCCUGUAAUCCCUGGAGGACCACCGGUGGCGAAGGCGCUCUCCUAGGACGGGUCCGACGGUGAGGGACGAAAGCCAGGGGAGCAAACCGGAUUAGAUACCCGGGUGGUCCUGGCCGUAAACGAUGUGGACUUGGUAUUGGGAUGGCUACGAGCUGUCCCAGUGUCGUAGGGAAGCCGUUAAGUCCACCGCCUGGGGAGUACGGUCGCAAGGCUGAAACUUAAAGGAAUUGGCGGGGGAGCACUGCAACGGGGGGAGCGUGCGGUUU